rnacentral:lncRNA from 1 species
GGUGGGGGAGGGGUCUCCAUCCAUGUCAUUCCCCUCCCCCACCACGCAGCUCCUCACAGACUUCGUGGGGGACGUUGGUUGGGUCAAUGGUUGGGUGUUGGGUCCAUGGUUGGUCAGUGGUUGGGUGUUGGUCAGUGGUUGGGUGUUGGUUGUUCAAUGGUUGGUCAGUGGUUGGGUGUUGGUCAAUGGUUGGGUGUUGGUCAAUGGUUGGGUGUUGGUCAAUGGUUGGGUCAAUGGUUGGGUCAAUGGUUGGUCAAUGGUUGGUCAGUAGUUGGGUGUUGGUUCAAUGGUUGGGUGUUGGUCAAUGGUUGGGUGUUGGUUGGGUCAAUGGUUGAUCAUUGAUUGAUCAUUGAUCAGUCAUUGAUCGCUCAUUGAUCCCCUAUCCCAGCGACGGUGAUGAGAAGGCCUCAGGCAGCUCAGGGCAGUGAUGGUUGGGUUAUUGAUUGGGUCAAUGGCUGGAUCAUUGAUCAAUCAUUGAUUAAUCAGCUAUUGAUCGCUCAUUGAUCACUCAUUGAUCGCUCAUUGAUCCCCUGUCCCAGCGACGGCGAGGAGAAGGCCUCGGGCAGCUCGGGGCGCUCUCUGGGCGCGGCGGGCGCGGCGCUGGGCAGCGAUGACAGCCUGGCCGGCUACGGCGGCAGCGCCGACGUGCAGUUCAACGAGGACGGCUCCUUCAUCGGGCAGUACAGCGGCACCCGCGGCACGGCCGCCGGCAGCUCCGGCCCCGCCAGCCCCUCGGCCGCCGCCCCCCUCGACUGAGGGAC